GACGAACGCUGGCGGCGUGCUUAACACAUGCAAGUCGAACGGAAAGGCCCUUCGGGGUACUCGAGUGGCGAACGGGUGAGUAACACGUGGGUGAUCUGCCCUGCACUUUGGGAUAAGCCUGGGAAACUGGGUCUAAUACCGAAUAUGAUCAUCGGCUCCAUGGUCGGUGGUGGAAAGCUUUUGCGGUGUGGGAUGGGCCCGCGGCCUAUCAGCUUGUUGGUGGGGUAAUGGCCUACCAAGGCGUCGACGGGUAGCCGGCCUGAGAGGGUGUCCGGCCACACUGGGACUGAGAUACGGCCCAGACUCCUACGGGAGGCAGCAGUGGGGAAUAUUGCACAAUGGGCGCAAGCCUGAUGCAGCGACGCCGCGUGGGGGAUGACGGCCUUCGGGUUGUAAACCUCUUUCGGCACAGACGAAGCGCAAGUGACGGUAUGUGCAGAAGAAGCACCGGCCAACUACGUGCCAGCAGCCGCGGUAAUACGUAGGGUGCGAGCGUUGUCCGGAAUUACUGGGCGUAAAGAGCUUGUAGGUGGUUUGUCGCGUUGUUCGUGAAAUCUCACGGCUUAACUGUGAGCGUGCGGGCGAUACGGGCAGACUAGAGUACUGCAGGGGAGACUGGAAUUCCUGGUGUAGCGGUGGAAUGCGCAGAUAUCAGGAGGAACACCGGUGGCGAAGGCGGGUCUCUGGGCAGUAACUGACGCUGAGAAGCGAAAGCGUGGGGAGCGAACAGGAUUAGAUACCCUGGUAGUCCACGCCGUAAACGGUGGGUACUAGGUGUGGGUUUCCUUCCUUGGGAUCCGUGCCGUAGCUAACGCAUUAAGUACCCCGCCUGGGGAGUACGGCCGCAAGGCUAAAACUCAAAGGAAUUGACGGGGGCCCGCACAAGCGGCGGAGCAUGUGGAUUAAUUCGAUGCAACGCGAAGAACCUUACCUGGGCUUGACAUGCACUAGAAAGCCGUAGAGAUACGGCCCCCCUUGUGGUUGGUGUGCAGGUGGUGCAUGGCUGCCGUCAGCUCGUGUCGUGAGAUGUUGGGUUAAGUCCCGCAACGAGCGCAACCCUUGUCUCAUGUUGCCAGCGGGUAAUGCCGGGGACUCGUGAGAGACUGCCGGGGUCAACUCGGAGGAAGGUGGGGAUGACGUCAAGUCAUCAUGCCCCUUAUGUCCAGGGCUUCACACAUGCUACAAUGGCCGGUACAAAGGGCUGCGAUGCCGUGAGGUGGAGCGAAUCCUUUCAAAGCCGGUCUCAGUUCGGAUCGGGGUCUGCAACUCGACCCCGUGAAGUCGGAGUCGCUAGUAAUCGCAGAUCAGCAACGCUGCGGUGAAUACGUUCCCGGGCCU
rnacentral:rRNA from 1 species